rnacentral:rRNA from 1 species
AGCAUAUCAUAGCGAGAAAGAACUACCAGAUCCCCUAGUAACUGCGAGUGAAGCGGGAUGAGCUCAAAUUUAAAAUCUGGCGGUUUUGCCGUCCGAGUUGUAAUCUGGAGAAGCGUUUUCCGCGUCGGACCGUGUACAAGUCUCUUGGAACAGAGCUUCAUAGAGGGUGAGAAUCCCGUCCAUGACACGGACCACCGAUGCUUUGUGAUACGCUCUCGAAGAGUCGAGUUGUUUGGGAAUGCAGCUCAAAAUGGGUGGUAAAUUCCAUCUAAAGCUAAAUAUUGGCGAGAGACCGAUAGCGAACAAGUACCGUGAGGGAAAGAUGAAAAGCACUUUGGAAAGAGAGUAAAACAGUACGUGAAAUUGUUGAAAGGGAAACGCUUGAAGUCAGUCGCGUUUGCCGGGACUCAGCCUUGCUUCUGCUUGGUGUACUUCCCGGUAGACGGGUCAACAUCGAUUUUGGCCGACGGAUAAAGGGGUUGGGAAUGUGGCACUCUUCGGGGUGUGUUAUAGCCCUUCUUCCGCAUACGCCGGCCGGGAUCGAGGACCGCAGCGCGCCUUAAUGGCCGGGGGUUCGCCCCACGUUACGCGCUUAGGAUGUUGGCAUAAUGGCUUUAAGCGACCCGUCUUGAAACACGGACCAAGGAGUCUAACAUGCUCGCGAGUGUUAGGGUGGAAAACCCUUGCGCGUAAUGAAAGUGAAAGUUGGGACUCUCGCGAGGGAGGCACCGACGCCCGGGCCCUGAAGUUCUCUGACGGUGCUGCGGUAGAGCGCGUAUGUUUGGGACCCGAAAGAUGGUGAACUUAUGCCUGAAUAGGGCGAAGCCAGAGGAAACUUCUGGGUGGAAGGCUCGUAGCGAUUCUGACGUGCAAAUCGAUCGUCAAAUUUGGGUAUAGGGGCGAAAGACUUAUCGACAUCUAGUAGCUUGCUGCUUCCUGAG